ensembl:lncRNA
AAAUGAUUGAGAUGCCAAUCAAAGCGGGCAGCAGCCAAUCAAGGCCUUAGAUUAGUCACCGCUUGUUGAUUUCGCGUGCUCGUGACAGAAUUCACCGCGUUCACGAAGUCUCAUCUUAAACAACAAAUAGUGUUUAAGCGACUUACGCACGAGGUUAAUUUCGCUGCUUCAGUAAUUGUAAGUGGAGUUUUUGCAUAUCUUUUGCUAGAUUAUGGUCAUGGACCGACAUAUUUAGUCUGUGUGGGCAGCUAACGUUACGUUUCUCCAAGCGCUUGUAAUGUUAUUCUAUUAAUCGACAUUAAUAUAUCAAAAGGAAAAAUCGACAAUAAUGAUUUCUGUCAUAAAUAAAUUGGCAACCUGACUCUGUACUAAAUACGUUUUCUUUUUCUUUUUUGUUCCUCUGUAGAAUUUAUAUAGCAUUUUAAACUUUUUCUCUUUGCUGAAUUGCCCAUAAACAAGACUUCUCUAACUUGUGUCUUCAGAUAAAUGCUGAAUUUCGUCGGAUCACAACCCUUCCUUUACAGUCCAAAUUCCUGUCCCAACUGAAUCGGUUCUCUGAUGAUCUCCUAAAAGUGUGUACCAAAAGGGUGGAGUGUUUAGAAAAAGGAUUCAGGAUGUGAUGGUGCCAAUGUCUCAGAAUGCCACCAUAGAGACCAAGCGAGAGUGCAUUCUCAAGCGGCUGUGCAUCUACCUGAAUGAAGAUCCACAGGAUGCGGUGAGGGAGUAUUUGGAUGUUGACCCUGCGAGCACUGAAGCGGACAUCAAGAAGACCGUUUUGGGGAUCUGUGUUGUAAAGCAUGAAUUUGCUGAUGCAACAGAAGACCUGAAGAUAUCAGCAUUGUGCUGGAAGGAGUUCCAUUACACUUUUAAGGUGCUCCAAAAAAUGAUUCUGGAGCUGGACUCGCAUAAACUGUCUGCCAAAGCACAGGCACUGAAAACAAAACUCUUCACUUAGAAGGUGUGAGCAGUGCUGUGUUUGAGGAUCCCUUUGUGAAUGCUGUGUUUUAUUUUCUUGUAUGCUUGUGUUCUUGUUGUAUCGCCAUUUUUGCACGGUGAGCAGAGGUGAUUAAGUCUCUCAAUCUCUCAUUUAAUUGGCUCACUCAUUUAAUCUCAUGUUUAAAAAACAAAAUAAAAUAAAAUGCUG